rnacentral:rRNA from 1 species
CUACGGGUGGCUGCAGUGAGGAAUAUUGGUCAAUGGGCGCAAGCCUGAACCAGCCAAUCCGCGUGCAGGAUGAAUGCCCUAUGGGUUGUAAACUGCUUUUAUACAGGAAGAAUCCUUCAUACGUGUAUGGAGCUGAUUGUACUGUAAGAAUAAGCAUCGGCUAACUCCGUGCCAGCAGCCGCGGUAAUACGGAGGAUGCGAGCGUUAUCCGGAUUUAUUAGGUCUAAAGGGUGCGUAGGCGGAUAAUUAAGUCAGUGGUGAAAUCCUGCAGCUUAACUGUAGAACUGCCAUUGAUACUGGUUGUCGUGAGUUUAGUUGAGGUAAGCGGAAUGUGUAGUGUAGCGGUGAAAUGCUUAGAUAUUACACAGAACACCGAUUGCGAAGGCAGCUUACUAAGCUACAACUGACGCUGAGGCACGAAAGCGUGGGGAGCGAACAGGAUUAGAUACCCGUGUAGUC